rnacentral:rRNA from 1 species
UACAGAGGUCUCAAGCGUUGUUCGGAUUUACUGGGCGUAAAGGGCGCGUAGGCGGCCACCGCAAGUCAGUUGUGAAAUCUCUGGGCUUAACCCAGAAAGGUCAACUGAUACUGCGGGGCUAGAGUGCAGAAGGGGCAACUGGAAUUCUCGGUGUAGCGGUGAAAUGCGUAGAUAUCGAGAGGAACACCUGCGGCGAAGGCGGGUUGCUGGGCUGACACUGACGCUGAAGCGCGAAAGCUAGGGGAGCGAACGGG